rnacentral:rRNA from 1 species
ACGACGUCAAGUCAUCAUGGCCCUUACGACCAGGGCUACACACGUGCUACAAUGGUCGGUACAAAGGGUUGCUACCUAGCGAUAGGAUGCUAAUCUCAAAAAGCCGAUCGUAKUCCGGAUUGGAGUCUGCAACUCGACUCCAUGAAGUCGGAAUCGCUAGUAAUCGCGGAUCAGAAUGCCGCGGUGAAUACGUUCCCGGGCCUUGUACACACCGCCCGUCACACCAUGGGAGUUUGUUGCACCAGAAGUCAGGUAGUCUAACCGUAAGGAGG